rnacentral:rRNA from 1 species
UACGUAGGGGGCUAGCGUUGUCCGGAUUUAUUGGGCGUAAAGAGCGUGUAGGCGGCAGCGCAAGUCGGGCGUGAAAUCCCACGGCUCAACCGUGGAAGUCGCACUCGAAACUGCGCAGCUAGAGUCCUGGAGAGGAAGGUGGAAUGCUUGGUGUAGAGGUGAAAUUCGUAGAUAUCAGGUGGAACACCAGUGGCGAAGGCGGCUUUCUGGGACGGUAACUGACGCUGAGACGCGAAAGCGUGGGGAGCAAACAGG